GACGAACGCUGGCGGCGUGCUUAACACAUGCAAGUCGAACGGAAAGGCCCUGCUUUUGUGGGGUGCUCGAGUGGCGAACGGGUGAGUAACACGUGAGUAACCUGCCCUUGACUUUGGGAUAACUUCAGGAAACUGGGGCUAAUACCGGAUAGGAGCUCCUGCUGCAUGGUGGGGGUUGGAAAGUUUCGGCGGUUGGGGAUGGACUCGCGGCUUAUCAGCUUGUUGGUGGGGUAGUGGCUUACCAAGGCUUUGACGGGUAGCCGGCCUGAGAGGGUGACCGGCCACAUUGGGCCUGAGAUACGGCGCAGACUCCUACGGGAGGCAGCAGUGGGGAAUAUUGCACAAUGGGCGGAAGCCUGAUGCAGCAACGCCGCGUGCGGGAUGACGGCCUUCGGGUUGUAAACCGCUUUCGCCUGUGACGAAGCGUGAGUGACGGUAAUGGGUAAAGAAGCACCGGCUAACUACGUG
rnacentral:rRNA from 1 species